rnacentral:lncRNA from 1 species
GUGCUACACCGAGGCUCCCGCUGAUUACUCCACCAAGACGGUCGAGUACUACACCGAAGCGGUAAACUACUACUCUGCCCCGAUCUACACAACCACAACUGAGGCGGCCAAGGAUGACGCAGUUCCGUCUUGCUACACCGAAGCUACUCUUUUGUUCUACGUUGAACAGAAAUACUACACUGAUGCUCCAGUUCACUACACCACAACCUACGCUACACCGCAGCCCCCAAGCACUACAUCGAAGAAGCCGCCUAUUACACAACAACGUAUGCUGCCUAGUUUACUACACCGAGGCUCCUAAGUACUACAUCACUAAGGCACUGGAAUUCUACACGUCUAUGUAUGCUGCCCCUUCCUACUACACCGAGGCGCCGCCUCUUCAACACUGAAGCUCUUAAGUACUACACUACAACCUACGCUGCCCCGAGCUACUACACCUACGUCCCGAAGUAUUACUGUGCGUAAAAUGAGUCGUCAGAAAAAAAAAAGAAGUCGGUCCCCGAACUGCAGUGCCCUAUCUGUCACCAACUGCAUUCCUCAUCGUGUAAUCCAUUCGCAAUUAUGGAUAUCUAUGGCGUCAUGCUCCUAUUGUGUCUUGUUCGUUGAUUGGUGGGUCGACCGCUGGUGUAGCGAUGUAUCCUUGGUAAGGCGGAAAUCAAACCGCAACGCCGCUGCCUUCCUACACAACUUACACAACGACCAGUUCCUGCACCGAGGUCUUCAAGUACUACACCACUAAAGCACCGGAGUUUUAUACCACAACUUACGCUGCCCCGAGCCACUACACUAAAGCCCUGAAGUAUUACUCUGCCCUGAGUUACUACACCAUCUAGGCGAUGGAGUGCUACAUGACUACGUAUGCUGCCCAUCCUACUACACCGAGGCUCCCAAGUGCUACACCGAGGCUCCCGCUGAUUACUCCACCGAAGCGGCAAAGUACUUCUCUGCCCUGAUCUACACAACCACAACUGAGGCGGACAAGUAUUACGCAGUCCCGAGUUGCUACCCAAAAGCAAAAGCUGCCCUUUCGUGCUACGUUGAACAGAAAUACUACACUGAUGGUCCAGUCUACUACACCACGACCUACGCUACACCUAGCUACAACACGGCAGCCCCCAAGUACUACACCGAAGAAGCCGCCUAUUACAUAACUACGUACGCUGCCUAGUUUACUACAUCGAGGAAUUUAAGUAUUACCCUGCUCCAAACUACUACCAAACUGAGGUUCAUAUUUAUUGCAAUUCUCCCGAUUAUGUCACCACUACUCACGCUGCUCUGACCUUUACACCGAAGUUCUGAAGUAUUUCUCUGGAUUUGUUGAAAGAUUGCUGGAAUACAAAAUUGAUUGAUAAA